rnacentral:rRNA from 1 species
UACGUAGGUGGCAAGCGUUGUCCGGAAUUAUUGGGCGUAAAGCGCGCGCAGGCGGCCUCUUAAGUCUGAUGUGAAAGCCCCCCGGCUCAACCGGGGAGGGCCAUUGGAAACUGGGAGGCUUGAGUAUAGGAGAGAAGAGUGGAAUUCCACGUGUAGCGGUGAAAUGCGUAGAGAUGUGGAGGAACACCAGUGGCGAAGGCGACUCUUUGGCCUAUAACUGACGCUGAGGCGCGAAAGCGUGGGAGCAAACAGG